rnacentral:rRNA from 1 species
CGUAGGGUGCAAGCGUUAAUCGGAAUUACUGGGCGUAAAGCGUGCGCAGGCGGUUAUAUAAGACAGAUGUGAAAUCCCCGGGCUCAACCUGGGAACUGCAUUUGUGACUGUAUAGCUAGAGUACGGUAGAGGGGGAUGGAAUUCCGCGUGUAGCAGUGAAAUGCGUAGAUAUGCGGAGGAACACCGAUGGCGAAGGCAAUCCCCUGGACCUGUACUGACGCGUCAUGCACGAAAGCGUGGGGAGCAAACAGGAUUAGAUACCCUGGUAGUCCACGCCCUAAACGAUGUCAACUGGUUGUUGGGUCUUCACUGACUCAGUAACGAAGCUAACGCGUGAAGUUGACCGCCUGGGGAGUACGGCCGCAAGGUUG